GAAGUUUCCAUUGCGUUUAUGAAUACAAUUCAGGGUUCGACGCGGAAAAGUGCAACAAUGUCUUUCGUCUUCAAAACGUCAUUCCCAGUGCCUUCUUGAUGGAUCGAGAUCCGUUCAAGCACUUGAGCCCAAUUCUGGAUUUGGAAACCAAGCAAGAGGUUCUCGCACAAGUUGUGUCGUCAAAUCGUGUCAAAUCAUGUGGCAUGAACUUGUCUCUAACUAAUGAGUGGCGUGGUAAUGAUCAAUUGAACACAACAAACCAGCCAAUAGAUGAAAUCAUGAAAAAUCCAGGUUUGACGAAGGCCUGGGAAAAUAGUUUCUCGAGAUGGGGGUCGCUUUUACGUUGUGAUCUCGACCAACUCACUCGCAAUCCAACCUGAGAGAAGACGAAGAAGACAAGGAAGCUAAUUACUUCUGGCGGGAUAACUGUUUCGAAAAACCAUUAGACGCUUACACCAGUCAAGACCUGAGAUGAUAACUGGACCAUCUAAUAAUUUCUGCCAUCAGACUAAAAUUUUCCUUUGAAGUAUCACGGACAGAUAUCACUCACUGACUUUCUUCUGGCUUUUGGUUGAUUUGGUUAUUGGAAAGGCAAAAAAAUCUGAAAUAAAUACGUCAGAGUCUGCAUCAA